rnacentral:rRNA from 1 species
AAGUCGUAACAAGGUUUCCGUAGGUGAACCUGCGGAAGGAUCAUUACCGAGCUAGGGUCUCAGGCCCGAACCUCCAACCGUGUCUACCGUCCCGUUGCUUUGGCGGGCGUGGUUCGCCCACCGCCGGUCAGCCGGCGUGCCCGUCAGAGGCCCAAAACUCCACAUCAUGAAGUCAGAGUACUACACAAUAGUCAAAACUUUCAACAACGGAUCUCUUGGUUCUGGCAUCGAUGAAGAACGCAGCGAAAUGCGAUAAGUAAUGUGAAUUGCAGAAUUCAGUGAAUCAUCGAAUCUUUGAACGCACAUUGCGCCCCUUGGUAUUCCGAGGGGCAUGCCUGUUCGAGCGUCAUUAUCAAACUCAAGCCUUGCUUGGUGUUGGGCGUCGCCUCUGGGCGCGCCUGAAACUCAGUGGCGGCCCCGCAGGCUCCGAGCGCAGUAAAUCUCUCGCUCCGGACCCCGCCAAGGGCCCCCUUGAACCCCAUCAGUUUGACCUCGGAUCAGGUAGGGAUACCCGCUGAACUUAAGCAUAUCAAUAAGCGGAGGAAAAGAAACCAACAGGGAUUGCCUCAGUAACGGCGAGUGAAGCGGCAACAGCUCAAAUUUGAAAUCUGGCCCCAGGCCCGAGUUGUAAUUUGUAGAGGUUGCUUCGGGUGCGGCCCGGUCUAAGUUCCUUGGAACAGGACGUCACAGAGGGUGAGAAUCCCGUACGUGACCGGAAGCCAACCCCAUGUGAAGCGCCUUCGACGAGUCGAGUUGUUUGGGAAUGCAGCUCUAAAUGGGUGGUAUAUUUCAUNUAAAGCUAAAUACUGGCCAGAGACCGAUAGCGCACAAGUAGAGUGAUCGAAAGAUGAAAAGCACUUUGGAAAGAGAGUUAAACAGCACGUGAAAUUGUUGAAAGGGAAGCGCUUGCAACCAGACUUGCCUGCGGCCGAUCAGCCGGUGUUCUCACCGGUGCACUCGGCCGUGGUCAGGCCAGCAUCGGUUUGGGCGGCGGGACAAAGGCCGCGGGAAUGUGGCUCCUCCGGGAGUGUUAUAGCCCGCGGCGUAAUGCCGCCAGCCCAGACCGAGGACCGCGCUUCGGC